UUUGAGUGAUGGUUAGUUACUAAUUAUUAGUUAGUUGUUAAACUAAUAUGAUCGAUGUAUAAAUACUAAGUGUGGUUUUUAGUUCAUUCGAUGGUCUCAUUUAGCAUUGUUAACUGAGCCUACUGAACCGAAUAACUAACUGAAUAGUUUGUCGAAUACCGAACAUUUUUUACAUUAUUCUCAAAAUAAACAUGUCCAUCUUUGAAAAAUAAACAUUGUUUAUGAUCUAUUUUCUUUUGUUACGUCAAUCCUUAGUGAUAUUUCUUCUGGUUGAUUAAGAACAAGCAUGUCAUCUUCCUAAAGCCACGACAAAAACUAAAACCUUAGAAACUAAAAAAUUAAUAUAUAGUUAUAUUAAUGAAAAAUUAAAAAAAUAUACAUAAGUUAUUAAAUAUAUAAUAUAAAUUUAUAAUAAAAAGUUAUAUAAUAUAAGUUUAUAAUAUAAAUAUAAAUUAUAACAAAAAUUUAAACGAACCAAACCAUUCUACGAAUGUCAACCAAGGUUUGAGUUCAAUCCGUUUAAUUAAACGAAUCUAUUUUAAGGUUCGGGUUCGAUUCGUUUAAUAACCGAACCCGAACUGAACCCGAAAUGAACUGAAUGUGUGAAUCGUGCUUUCGACAUGAACCAAGCAACAAAUGUUUCCAACAAAACUUCUGCCAGUUCGUUGACCGAAUUUGUUCAAAAAAUGCAGCAGAUUCUGAUCCAAUCGGAUGUUCCCAUUCCUGCUAAGCAAUCUAAUUUUGGAGGAAGAUUACCGACUUUUGAAUGGAGGAAGAGAUUAUGUACUGCAAACCCUCUCUUCAUAAGUCGGUAACCUUCCUCCAAAAUUAGAUUGCUUGUAUAAGUUGACCAAUUGUCCCAUCACAACCCUAAAUAACUUCAAGAGUAAUCGAAACAUCAUAUUGGUAAAGAUCUUUCAUAGUAAGUUCUGCCACGAAAUGAUUAACCUUUACCAUACAUUUCGUACUGGUGUCGCCUUUGCCAUAAGAGAAGACGAUGCAUUAUAUUUAACAGGAGUGGGAACUUCCGAUUGGAUCAAAAUCUGUUGCAUUUUUGAACUAAUUCAAUCAACGAACUGUCAGAAGUUUUGUUGGAAACAUUUCUUGCUUGGUUCACGUCGAAAGCAAAGGCAGAAUGGACGGUAACUUGUAUUUCCUCGGUGUCCACUUGAAACUACAAUUCUAUCCCUAUUCCGCACCUGGUGAUGUUGAUAUCCCUAUUCCGUACUUGGUGAUGUUGAGGAGUCAUACUUACUUAAACUUCUUUCACUAAUAAAAUUAAACGAAGACCUUGAACUUGAUACUUCUGCAUUCCCAAUCUGGAUAUUUUAUUUACUUGGCAUUCUGGCUUUCCAUUUGAAUCGGUAGUCUUUGGAUGAUUUCUCACAUUUUCAAGAUCAUUAUGUGAAUUAUUCGUUUCUGGCAUAUUUUGGUUUCUGGCAUCUUUGUCAUUAGAAUCAUUUCUUUUCCUUUUCUUAAAUAUCCAUCCUUCAACGUUUGAAGUUUUGGAUUCAGCUUCUGGAAUUAACAUUUUCUAGAUUUUUAGUAUAAAUAAUUAAUGGUUAACAUAUGUUGCAAGAUAUUUUUAUUUUAGAAAAUAGAAAUAACCACAAAUAGAAAAAGAUAAUUAAUGGUUUCUAUAUUUUUUGAGGUUAAAUGUGGCAAAGCAUAUCAUCCCUUCAUUUUAUUGUAAAUUUUUCUCAAUUGUUUAUUUUAUAGAUUUGAUCAGCGGACGUUAAUUUUAAAUCAUUUAACCAAAUUAAAUUUUUUUUUCCAAUCCAAUUGUUCUGCCGAGGUGCCAUAUUUUUGUCUCAUAAUUUUUUAAAAUCAAAAUGAAUCUCUCCCAAAGGCCAAAGCCUUCCAAAAACCCAAAUAAUUACCUCGAUUCAAUGAACUUUCUGAUUUGUUAUAACCAUGAAAUAUUUGACCAUGAAUUAAGAGAUAUUUAACAAUAAUAAUUGAAGUUUGUAACUUCUGUUUAUAUUCUGCCCGAGCCACUGAAGAGUGUCAAUCGAAAUGAGUUUCAAUGUGUUGAUUUUGAUUCAUCAAAAAUUCACAUUUACUCUUUACAACAUUGUGAUGACUAUUAUCUCUCCCAACAUGUUGUUUCAAAUAUUCUGGUUUAUUUCAUUUAGAAAAACCUCUAGUUGCAAAACAUGAUCAAUCCAAAAGAAAAUAUAACAUCAAUGAUUAAAAAAAAUCAAUUAAGUUAUAAAAAAAUUAAUAAACAAAUUUUACUUAUAAGUAAAAGCAGUUUCAUUUAUUUCCGAGAAUAAAUAACAACAUAAACAGAAAACGACGUCUUUUGAAAUGCUAUCACUACAAGAAAUAAUACCUUGUAUGACGGUCUUAUUUGUAGUGUAUAUUUAAUUCAUGAUUCAUAUUUGUUAAACCACAAUACAUAAAAUCUUUUAAAUUGAUUUUUAACCUUUUUAAUGGAAAUUCAUGUUGGCGUGAUUGACAAGGUUUCUUUUGCAAAUAAUUUCUUCUUAUUUGAUCUCGGUCAUUUAGAUAGUAGUCAUUUAUCUUCUUUCGCAAUCUCGGAUCGGAAGGUAAUUUACUUACAUCGAGUGGCUCUUUAGAUGGUUAUGGAUUGGAUGAAGGAGUUGAAAUUGGUUAAUUUAAUUUAGGUCUUUUUGAUCACAAAUUUAUCCAUUGAUUAUCUAUGUAAAAAAAAGAUCUAAAUUAAUAUCAAAUUCAAAAAUAAGGAAUGUGGAUAAAAAAUACCUUUAUUCUUUUUCUUUGCAUGUAGCUAUAGUCACGUACUCACGUGAAGUGGAGAAAAAGAAAUAAAAAAUUAAAUGAAUGGUGUGGAGAUGGAGGAGGAGGAAAGAACGAAAAUUUUAAAUCUCUAGAUAUAGAUGGACAGUUAUGGGAAAUUAAGGAAUCUGAAGUGAAGUGGGCCUCAAAAGUGAAGAAAAAGCUUGCCAUCCUGAGGCAAAAGCUGGAGGCUUAUUUCAAGCUUCUGAAUGAAGGUGAAUCUAUAGAAGUGAAGAAAGAGGAUCAACCUCGUAACUCUGUUUCACUCUUUUCUCUCUGGUUUCUCCACCUCCAUGGCUGGAGGAGGUGGGGGAAGUGGCUCAAAAAGUGGAAAAGUUAAUCCCGAAUCUAGGGAUGGUGAAAACAAGAAGGGAGAUGGUCGGAGUGGGGAGAGAGGCGGAAGGAAGCAAAAUUCGAAAUUUUUGAAACUCAGAAUUGAUUACUGAGCACAUGGGUACUAGUUUCGAACUUGGGGAUGGCCGGAAUGGUAAAAGGCAAUCCAACAGUACAGUUAUAGCUAUUGAUAUUGCCGAUGGAAAUUCUGAUAGGUCUUGCGUCCCUACUGGGAGAGAUGAAUGUGACUCGGAAACUAUCCAGGUAAGAUCUAUAUUGAAUUCCGCUUCUAAAGGUACCGGAAAUGCAGGAUAGUCCCACCACAGCAUCCCUUAAUCGGGUGAACCAUGCAUGGGGUGACUAUUUGAGCCCAUAGAUUGACUUCUUCAAUCUGCAUAUAUGAUUUGGAAAAUUGCGGUUGAUGCAUGUAGACUUCCUCAUCAAACAUUCCAUGCAAAAACACGUUGGAGAUAUCUAAUUAGAUUACCGACCAUCCUUUGCUAACUUCCAACGCUAAUGCAAUCCUGACCGUGACUGGUUUGACCACUGGUGUAAAUGUUUGAUUGUAGUCAAUGUCGUCUCUCUGACGAAGAUUGUUUGCCACCAGGCGCGCCUUCCGUCUUUCCAGUGUGCCGUCAGGAUUAAAUUUGUUCCGAAAUACCCAUUUACAACUCAAAACGUUUUGAUACGGUGAUCGAUGUACCAACUCCCAUGUAUCGUUAUCAAUCAACGCCUCAUACUCCUUUUUCAUCGCCGCCGCACACUCCGGGUCCUCAAGGGCCUUGACGGCACAAGAAGUUUUGUAGUCGAUAUAUGACAAAUGUAUUUGGGAUUAGGUUUUCGUAUCCCAUUUCCUGCUCUCAUCACCAUCUGAUGCAGAGGAUGCUCCGAUAUAUGUGUGACCGGCGUAGAUUGCUGACCUGAAGAAGACCCAAUUCCCUGACUGAGGACCUCAUCAGUUGACUGGUCAAUGGAGUCAAUCGUCGUGUCAACUUGGAUAGAGUCUGAUUGAUCAAGUUGUGUUGAAUCUGAGUCUCCUUCCGCAUUAAUUUGGGUUGGACCAGGAACAUCCGAACCAAAGGAAUCUGAAAUGUGGUCAUGAGUGAACUCGGCUGAAUCAAGCAGUCUUUUAUUUUGACUGAAAUCCGUUUCGAAGAAGAUACAAUCUCUUGAAAUAACAAAUUUCUUUGACCGAGAAUUAUAACAUAAAUACCCCCGAUGGUUCUAUGGGUAACCUAAGAAGAUGUGGGGGUCUGAUCUGAAAGAAAAUUUAUUUUUGCGAAUUGGGCAUAAGUUUGGAUAUACAAGUCAUCCGAAUACCCGCAGAUUCGAAUAAUUUGGAGGUUUGCCGAACCAGACUUUGAAGAGCGAGUCGCCGACAAGCGUGGUGGUCAGAGUCCGAUUGUAAAGAAAACAUGUUGAAGCAAAUGCGUGAUGCCAGAAUCGGAGAGGAAUAUUGUCUUGAUGAAGUAGGGCCAGGCCAAUGUCCACGAUAUGUCUGUGACGUUUCUCAACACUUCCCAUCUGGGAAUGAGAAUACGGACAGGAAUAUCGAUGCUCAAUGCUGCACUCUGCCAGAUAUCCUCAGAACGAUAAAAAUUCCCCUCCAUUAUCCGUUUGCAGCGCUUUUAUCCUCAGAUCCGUCUGGUUUUCAACAAACACUUUGAAUAAUUUGAAUACAUUUAACGCAUCUGAUUUUGUUACUAGGAAAAAUAGCCAAUUGUGUUUCGAGAAACCAUCAACAAAGUUAACAAAAUAGAAAUGGCCUUCUAAAGAAGGCACUGGCGCCGAACCCCAAAGAUCCGCAUAAAUAACAUUAAGAAGAUUUGAUGAUGACUUGACCGGACGGGAAGGUGAAGGAAGACGAUGAUGUUUAGCCAUUACACAAGAUCGACAACUAAGAUCUUUAUUUAACAAAUUCACAAGAAGAUUAAAAGGUUUAACCACAUCUAAGGUUGUUUUUGGUGAAACAUGACCCAAACGACGAUGCCAGCGAUCCAUCGAGACCGAUUUCACCAGGUUGACCUCCGUUCUUACCCUUGUAUCAUUCAGAUCAAGUUUGUACAUCCCGUUCACCGCUUUGCCUUUCGCGACCAACUACUUACUCUGCAAAUCCAAUAGACAUACAAAGGAUUUAUCAAACCACAUACCAAAGUUGUUGUCAUUGCAAAGCCUGUAGACUGAUAACAAAUUUUUUGCCACUGAUAGAACUACAGAAAUAUCAUUGACAUGAAUAUCAUGAUUGUUCUUAGAAAAUACCAAAUCUCCAGCACCUUCAGCCGGUACAGGUGCGCCAUCUGCAACCACUAUACCGGGGUGGUUCGAAAUGGAUUUAGGUAGAUGAACAUAUCGAUGUUUACCUGAAAUAUGCCCUAUAGCAGCCGAAUCAGGAUUUCAGAGUGCAUUGAUCUCUGCCAGAGUAGCCUUAUUUGUCGCUUUGGUCGUCUGAGCUUUUGACGUACCCUGUGCUCCGGAAGCGUUGGAUAGAGGACCUCGUUAUACCUGUUAUGACAGACAAUUGCAACGUGUCUACGCUUCCCGUAGAUCUGACACAUCGGCCGCUCCCGAUCUCAUUUAGGAUUAAAUGCGACGGAGUUUCCCAAAAAGGCUGACUGAGAGCUUCGGACAUUCAGAUUUUUAAUUUCCUGAUUUGAGAGCAGGGUCCGAACUGUUGGCAGAGUCAUCGUCUUCAGUUGUGAAGAAAUCACUGCCACGAUUGCUUCAAAAUCAAUAUCCAAUCCACCAAGAAUAUAUAAAACCGUUUCUGCCGUUGAGAAGUGAACUCCAGCCGUCCUCAACGCAUCCAUCGAUAUUAUGACUUUGUUGAUAUAGGUAUUGAUGUCGAGAUCCCGUUUCUUCAUAGUCUGAAGUUGCUGCCUGAUUUAUAGAAUUCUGGAGCCAGAUGAAGACACGUACAAUUGUUGCUACUGCGCCCAAGCCUCAGCCGAAGAUUCAACAUUCGCGAUUUGCGUGAAAACGUCGGUGUGGAGCGUAGAGAAGAUCCAACCCAAAUGUAACUGAUCUUGCUUGAUUUUCAGAUCACAAUCAAGCUCGAUCUAUCCAUCGAUGUAUGAUAGAAGACCGUAACCUUAAAGAAGAGUCUUGAUCUGCGCCUACCAUGUGAAGAUGUUGUCAAAGGAGAGUUUUUCAGCUUGCUGAUACUUAAUCUUGACAGGCUUGAUCAAGGCGUCGCCGGAGAGAUUGAAUGUGUUGAUCAUCGCCGGAGAUCUACCUGGAAAGAGCCGAUCCAGAACCAAAAAACUAGCUAACUAAUACCAUAUUACGUUUACAAGAUCUCCCGAGUUGAUCUGUAUAUUUCAUUAUCCAUUCCUACCCACAUAUCUGUAUUUAAACUAAGUAAUAUAACUAAUUAUUGUUACAGCUAAUUUAACAAUAUUAUUAUUCUCUAAUACAUACGAAUUUUUUUUGUUUUGGAGGGGGGGGGGGCGCUGGAUUUGAUUGAAAACGAGUUUGGGUCACCCUGGACCUUGUAAAACUUGAAUAAACUUGAGUAGAAUGAUUAAGUCAACGAUCAAAUCAAGAAAUUGAAUAUAAGGGGGUUAAAAAUAAACUUAUCACUUAUGUAUUUAAUAUAUUAUAUAAGGUUAUUUAUAUGAAUUAUAUUAUAUAAAAUAUUAUAUAAGGUAUAAAUAUAAUUUACCCCGAGUACAGGUACUGGGAAUCCCCAUUCCCGUAUCCAAAAAUGGCAGGGGAUUUUCCAACUUUAGGUACGAUUUGAGUACAGGUACGGGGAAUCUCACCCCUAUGAAAGAUGGAUAUAAUUCAGAUAAUUAAUGGGUUGGCACGUGUAUAUGGUGUUGGCAGUAAUUUAAUAGAUGUCAUCGAGAUCUGUGCAAGACGAACUUCAAGUAAACGUUAUUCGUGGGUGACAUUUUCCAAACCAUAGAAUAGACAACGAGAGGGGUGGAUUGACUCGACGCAUUUUAGAAAUUAAUUCAUAAAAAAAAUACAAUGACAUUAUUAAAAAUAAAAAAGUGAAUGUGUAGUGAUAUGCACGAAGCAGAAACUCGCGAAUGUGCAGUGAUAUGCACAAUCUGCAGGAACUCGAGCCGGAUAUGCACGAUCAGCAGAAACUCGAUGAGCGAUCAACGGCGAUAUGCACAAUCGACCUAGCGAAUGAUAUCAUAUGUGAAACUGAAAUUGGUUUUUCAAUUACAAUAGCACUCUAUUUAUAGGUAUUACAAUCGGUUAUGAUUUAAUAAUAAACCGAUAUAAGACUAUGUUUAUAUUGUUAUCUAUUAACCGAUGUACGACUAUAUAUUGUUAUCUAUUAUACAGAAGAUCAAAAUGUGGACAUCUUUACAAAAGGUUUAUCAAUUGAAAAAUUCAACAAGUUUUAAACAUUGAUGAUUUGGGGUCACGGUCUUAAGCUAAGUUUUAUUUUUCUUUAUUUUUAUGUUUAUAUUGUUUGUUAAUGUUUUGUUGAAUAGAAUUGAAUAAUGUUUAUGUGAACAUUUAUUAAAGUAAAUUUAUUCUGUUUGUUGUAUGAUGGACAAAUUAGCACAAGAGUAUGUAAAGGAUUUAAAAAAGAAUCUUGAGGCUAAUCUAAGCUUGAGAGAAAAGUAGUAGACCUAAAGGUAGAGUUUUCCCAGAACAACCAGCCUUUGGGUUUUUUACCCUCCUUUUGCUUUUCUACCCAUAGCAUUGUGUACUUUGGACUACAGAACAACCAGAAUGGAUUACGAAAUCAAAGUCAAUCUUUCAUAAGAAUCUAUAUACAACUUGUUUUUGAGUGGAAGUAUGAGAUAUAAUAAUAAAUAUUUAUAGGUAGUUGUGCAUGUGGAUAUUAGUUAUAGUUAGUGAUGGUUAGUUACUAAUUAUUAGUUAGUUGUUAAACUAAUAUGAUGUAUAAAUACCAAGUGUGGUUUUUAGUUCAUUCGAUAGUCUCAUUUAACGUUGUUAACUGAGCCUAUUGAACCGAAUACCUAACUGAAUAGUUCGUUGAAUACCGAACUUUUUUUACAUUAUAUUAAAAAUAAACAUUAAAAAAAAUAAACAUGUCCAUCUUUGAAAAAUAAACAUGUCCAUCUUUGAAAAAUAAACAAUAAAAAACAUUGUUUAUAAUAUAUUUUCUUUUGUUAAGUCCAUCUUUAGUCAUCUUUUUUUCUUGUUGAUUAAGAACAAGCAUGUUAUCAUCCUAAAGCCACGACAAAAACUAAAACCUUAGAAACUAAAAAAUUAAUAUCUACUAUAUUAAUGAAAAAUUACAAAAAUAUACAUAAGUUAUGAAAUAUAUAAUAUAAAUUUAUAAUAAAAAGUUAUAUAAUAUAAGUUUAUAAUAUAAAUAUAAAAUAAUAAAAUAUAACAAAAAUUUAAACGAACCGAACCAUUCUUCGAACUUCAACCAAAGUUUGGUUUCGAUUCGUUUAAUUAAACGAAUCUAUUUUAAGGUUCGGGAUUGAUUCGUUUAAUAACCGAAUCGAAUCGAAUCGAACCGAACCCGAAACGAACAGAAUAGUUCGUCCGAACUUUUAUUUCAACUCUACUCUCAUUAGAUCUACAACAAUAUGAUGUUUUAAUUGCUCUUAAAUUUACUUCAUGUGGCGUGAAUUGUGUUUUCGACAUGAACCAAGCAAGAAAUGUUUCCAACAAAACUUCUGCCAGUUCGUUGACCGAAUUUGUUCAAAAAAUGCAGCAGAUUCUGAUCCAAUCGGAUGUUCCCACUCCUGCUAAGCAAUCUAAUUUUGAAGGAAGAUUACCGACUUUUGAAUAGAGGAAGAGAUUAUGUACCGCAAACUCCUUCAUAAGUCGGUAACCUUCCUCCAAAAUUAGAUUGCUUGUAUAAGUUGACCAAUUGUCCUAUUACAACCCUAAAUAACUUCAAGAGUAAUCGAAACAUCAUAUUGGUAAAGAUCUUUCUUCGUAACUUCUGCCACGAAAUGAUUACCCGUUACCAUACAUUUCAUACCGGUAUCGCCUUUGCCAUAAGAGAGGACGAUGCAUUAUGUUUAACAGGAGUGGGAACUUCCGAUUGGAUCAAAAUCUGUUGCAUUUUUAAACUAAUUCAGUCCACGAAAUGUCAGAAGUUUUGUUGGAAACAUUUCUUGCUUGGUUCACGCCAAAAGCAAAGGCAGAAUGGACAGUAACUUGUAUUUCCUCGGUGUCCACUUGAAACUACAACUCUAUCCCUAUUCCGCACGUGGUGAUGUUGAGGAGUCAUACUUACUUAAACUUCUUUCACUAAUAAAAUUAAACGAAGACCUUGAACUUGAUACUUCUGCAUUCCCAAUCUGGAUAUUUUAUUUACCUGGCAUUCUGGCUUUCCAUUUGAAUCGGUAGUCUUUGGAUGAUUUCUCACAUUUUCAAGAUNNN
rnacentral:lncRNA from 1 species